rnacentral:rRNA from 1 species
UGGGGAAUAUUGCGCAAUGGGCGAAAGCCUGACGCAGCGACGCCGCGUGAGGGACGAAGGCCUUCGGGUUGUAAACCUCUUUCAGCAGGGACGAAGCGAAAGUGACGGUACCUGCAGAAGAAGCACCGGCCAACUACGUGCCAGCAGCCGCGGUAAUACGUAGGGUGCAAGCGUUGUCCGGAAUUAUUGGGCGUAAAGAGCUCGUAGGCGGUUUGUCGCGUCGGCUGUGAAAACCCGGGGCUCAACCCCGGGCCUGCAGUCGAUACGGGCAAACUAGAGUGUGGUAGGGGAGACUGGAAUUCCUGGUGUAGCGGUGAAAUGCGCAGAUAUCAGGAGGAACACCGGUGGCGAAGGCGGGUCUCUGGGCCAUAACUGACGCUGAGGAGCGAAAGCGUGGGGAGCGAACA